ACCGCAUUUCAUUUCAUUUCAUUUCUUCUGCUGCAACGGACGGCUAGCAGCUGCAAGGGACAACCGAAGCUUCACCAUUUCUUUCUUCCAAAACUCAUCCAAAUCCUUACCAAAACUUCCAUAGAUUCUCACCAAACUUCACAUUCAUUUAGCUUUUCACUUGGACAACAACUUAGCUGCAAAAGGAAGGAGCUAUCCACGGUUUCUUCAAGCUUCAAAGGGCCGAAAAAUCUGUCCAAACUAGCCAUCAAAGUAGGCGCUCAAGAGGACCUUCCAGAGGAUCUCACGGAAGACGCCUAAACCAUCAUUUGAACUCGCUACUUGAAUCACUGUUGGAUUGGAAGAUUUUGAUAAAGCCGACUAGAUUAUACUUUUGAUUAGAAUCGGGGCUGUAAAUGUGUAGUCGACUUUUAAUGGUUGCAUUUUGGAACUUGAUGUAUCUUUUGUGAACAUGAUGUAAGAUUUAAAUAUUUAAUUAAGGAAGCGACUUUUCUUUAUUUUGACUCAUAG